AGAUGAUGUGGGAGUUGUUUACAGCCCAAUUGUGCCCUCUUAUCUUCCUCAAUAUCAGCUCUUACCUAUUCAUCUGGAGGGGUGUUACCAUGUCCCGAUUUAAGACUUGGGAUAGGUCCAAGCAAGGUUCUGGUCCUUGGAAGAUUAAGGGAGAGCUGGCAUCAGGAGAUCUGCAUUUCAUAGGUUCAGAACCAAGCCCAGGAAGACGGACUGCUUUACCCAACCUCUGAACGACAUCACUCUCUUGGUGGAAGUUCUGAGAUGAAGUCCACUCCUGUAAACUCUUGUCUCUUUCCCAAACUUUGAUGCCUGCCGCAGGAGGUUUGGGAGCUAAUUCCUUCCUGGCAGACAGAAGUAGCUGCAUAUAGCAAUGAAGUGACCUCCGAAUGUUUGGUUUUGACUAUCAUUAAACCCAGGAAAGAGCACUAGAGCUCUAUCCUGGAAGGCUA
rnacentral:lncRNA from 1 species